rnacentral:lncRNA from 1 species
GGAAAAGAUAACCAUACACUGCCUGAAAAAAGCCAGAGGAAGGAGAAGUCCUGGAACCUCCAAAGUGAAGUGUUGAAAGCCUCUCUGUUAAGAAAUCAGAGCUGGGCAAGACUGGGGCUGAAGGAUUGACUACUUCUCCUGGGCUACUACUCAGAAGAACUAGCCCCCCAACUUGACACUAUUCACACCUGCCACCUCAGCAGCUACAGCAGGAGAACAUGUCCCCAGGCUGAAUUUAGAAAAGAAGUGAAACUUCUGUUCGUUAGUACUCACCUUGGUGUUCUGAGUCUAAACAUGAGACUGGUCCAUUACUCUUUAAGGUAUUUUUAAGGUUCUUUUUAUC